UCCUCCUUUUGGGGGGGGAAGGGACUGCAAGAGUUUUAUCACGCAGAUUGCCUCUUCUUCUUUCUGGGGGAUGGAGAGGGCCCACGUGACAGAUUACCUCAUUGGUGCUGACCAGAAAAUUCCAGACUAGUUG